rnacentral:rRNA from 1 species
UACGUAGGGUCCGAGCGUUGUCCGGAAUUAUUGGGCGUAAAGAGCUCGUAGGCGGUCUGUUGCGUCGGCUGUGAAAACCCGGGGCUCAACUCCGGGCCUGCAGCCGAUACGGGCAGACUAGAGUUCGGCAGGGGAGACUGGAAUUCCUGGUGUAGCGGUGAAAUGCGCAGAUAUCAGGAGGAACACCGGUGGCGAAGGCGGGUCUCUGGGCCGAUACUGACGCUGAGGAGCGAAAGCGUGGGGAGCAACAGG